rfam:Sorghum bicolor cultivar BTx623 chromosome 10, whole genome shotgun sequence.
UCGUAACACGAACCGGUGCUAAAGGGUCCUGCCCAACGGCUACUGACAGGGACCCUUUAGCACCGGUUCGUGUUACCAA